GACGAACCGUGCAAACGUUGUUCGGAUUCACUGGGCUUAAAGGGCGCGUAGGCGGGCCAUCAAGUCAGGGGUGAAAUCUUUCGGCUCAACCGGAAAAGUGCCUUUGAUACUGGUGGUCUCGAGGGAGGUAGGGGCAUGCGGAACUUCCGGUGGAGCGGUGAAAUGCGUAGAUAUCGGAAGGAACGCCGGUGGCGAAAGCGGCGUGCUGGACCUCUUCUGACGCUGAGGAGCGAAAGCGUGGGGAGCGAACAGG
rnacentral:rRNA from 1 species